rnacentral:rRNA from 1 species
UGGGGAAUCUUGCGCAAUGGGCGAAAGCCUGACGCAGCAACGCCGUGUUUGCGAUGAAGGCCCUCGGGUCGUAAAGCACUGUUUACGGGAAAGACGGGUCGGCUCGUUAAUAUCGAGUGGGUUUGACGGUACCCGUGUAGGAAGCACCGCCUAACUCUGUGCCAGCAGCCGCGGUAAUACAGAGGGUGCAAGCGUUGUUCGGAAUUAUUGGGGGUAAAGCGCGCGUAGGCGGUUAUUCAAGUCGGAUGUGAAAGCCCGGGGCUCAACCUCGGAAGUGCAUCCGAAACUGGAUGACUUGAAUCCUGGAGGGGGCAGUGGAAUUCCCGGUGUAGAGGUGAAAUUCGUAGAUAUCGGGAGGAACACCAGUGGCGAGGGCGACUGCCUGGACAGUGAUUGACGCUGAGGUGCGAAAGCGUGGGUAGCAAACAGGAUUAGAUACCCGCGUAGUCC